UAUAUACUCCCUCUGUCCGGAAAUAUUUGUCAUCAAAAUGGAUAAAAAGAGGUGUAUCUAGAACUAAAAUACAUCUAGAUACAUCCCCUUUUAUUCAUCUUGAUGACAAGUAUUCCCAGACGGAGGGAGUAGUCA
rfam:Triticum urartu cultivar G1812 contig638992, whole genome shotgun sequence.